rnacentral:rRNA from 1 species
GAUGAACGCUAGCGGAAGGCUUAAUACAUGCAAGUCGAGCGGUAGGUGGCUUCGGCCAUUGAGAGCGGCGCACGGGUGAGUAACGCGUACAUGACCUGCCUGUCAGAAGGGGAUAGCCCUGGGAAACUGGGAUUAAUACCCUAUGGUAUUGAUAUUAUGAAUGAUAUCAAUUAAAGUUGAGGCGCUGACAGAUGGAUGUGCGUCUGAUUAGCUAGUUGGUAGGGUAACGGCCUACCAAGGCGACGAUCAGUAGGGGGCGUGAGAGCGUGGUCCCCCACACGGGUACUGAGACACGGACCCGACUCCUACGGGAGGCAGCAGUAAGGAAUAUUGGUCAAUGGAGGGAACUCUGAACCAGCCAUGCCGCGUGAAGGAUGACGGCCCUCUGGGUUGUAAACUUCUUUUGGAUGGGGCGAAAAAACGGGAUUUAUCCUGGACUGACGGUACCAUCAGAAUAAGCACCGGCUAACUCCGUGCCAGCAGCCGCGGUAAUGUAGUCG